UACAGAGGUCUCAAGCGUUGUUCGGAUUCAUUGGGCGUAAAGGGUGCGUAGGUGGCGCGCUAAGUCAGGUGUGAAAUUUCGGAGCUUAACUCCGAAACUGCAUUUGAUACUGGCGUGCUUGAGGACUGGAGAGGAGACUGGAAUUCACGGGUGUAGCAGUGAAAUGCGUAGAGAUCGUGAGGAAGACCAGUGGCGGAAGCGGGUCUCUGGACAGUUCCUGACACUGAGGCAGCGAAGGCCAGGGGAGCAAACGGG
rnacentral:rRNA from 1 species